UAACACGUAAGUUGCGAGCGUUGUUCGGAAUUAUUGGGCGUAAAGGGCAUGUAGGCUGUUUUGAAAGCUUGGUGUGAAAUCCCGCAGCUUAACUGCGGAACUGCAUUGAGAACUACAAGACUAGAGUUACUGAAGGGAAACUAGAAUUCCAAGUGUAGGGGUGAAAUCUGUAGAUAUUUGGAAGAAUACCAAUGGCGAAGGCAAGUUUCUGGCAGAUAACUGACGCUGAGGUGCGAAGGUGCGGGGAGCAAACAGGAUUAGAUACCCUGGUAGUCCGCACAGUAAACGAUGUACACUAGGUGUUUGACCAUGAGGUUGGGUGCCAAAGCUAACGUGAUAAGUGUACCGCCUGGGAAGUAUGCCCGCAAGGGUGAAACUCAAAGGAAUUGACGGGGCCCGCACAAGCGGUGGAGCAUGUGGUUUAAUUCGAUGGUACGCGAGGAACCUUACCUGGGUUUGACAUAUACCUGGAAUACUGCAGAGAUGCAGCAGCGUAGCAAU
rnacentral:rRNA from 1 species